rnacentral:rRNA from 1 species
UUCCGUUGGUCCUGCGGAAGGUUGCUGUUAUCAGGUUUCGACUAAGCCAUGCAAGUUAGCUCAGCAAUGGGCAGCGAAAUGCUCAGUAACACGUCAAUAAUCUAACCUUAAGAUGGGGAUAACCUUGGGAAACUGAGGAUAAUACCCGAUAGGAGAAAUGAAUUGGAAAAUCUUUUCUCUUAAAGCUUCGGUGCUUAAGGAUGAGUUGGCGGCUGAUUAGGUUGUUGGUGGGGUAAAGGCCCACCAAGCCGGAGAUCAGUAGGGGCCUUGAGAGAGGUAGCCCCGAGAAGGACACUGAGAUACUGGUCCUAGCCCUACGGGGUGCAGCAGGCGCGAAACCUUUACAAUGCACGUAAGUGUGAUAAGGGAAACCUGAGUGCUCAUGUUUUACAUGGGCUUUUGCCAAGAGUAAAAAUCUUGGCGAAUAAGUGGUGGGCAAGACUGGUGCCAGCAGCCGCGGUAACACCAGCGCCACGAAUGGCAAUCACUAUUAUUGGGCCUAAAGCGUCCGUAGCCUGUUUAAUCCGUCUUUUGUGAAAUUGUUCAGCUCAACUGAACAACGUGCAGAAGAUACAAUUAAGACUAGGAACCGGGAGGGGUCAGAGGUAUUCUGGGGGGAGCGGUAAAAUGCUAUAAUCCCCGGAGGACCACCUGUGGCGAAGGCGUCUGACUAGAACGGUUUCGACGGUGAGGGACGAAAGCCAGGGGAGCAAACCGGAUUAGAUACCCGAGUAGUCCUGGCUGUAAACGCUGUGAGCAAGGUGUCGCAUAUCCUCCGAGGAUGUGCGGUGUCGAAAUGAAGAUGUUAAGCUCACCGCCUGGGAAGUAUGGUCGCAAGGCUGAAACUUAAAGGAAUUGGCGGGGGAGCACCACAAGGGGUGCGGCGUGCGGUUUAAUCUAACUCAACGCAGAGAAUCUCACCAGCAGCGACGGCAGGAUGAAGGUCAGGUUGAAGGCCUUACCAGACGAGCCGAGAGGUAGUGCAUGGCCGUCGUCAGCUCGUGCCGUAAGGUGUCCUGUUAAGUCAGGCAACGAGCGAGACCUGUGUCUACAAUUGCUAACAGUUCUUUAAGGUACUGUGCACAUUGUGGAAACUGCCCUCGAAAGGGGGAGGAAGGUGCAGGCUACGGUAGGUCUGUAUGCUCCGAAUCUGCUGGGCUACACGCGCGCAACAAUGGUAAGGACAAUGGGACGCGACUCCGAAAGGAGAAGCUAAUCCUCGAAACCUUAUCUUAGUACAGAUUGAGGAUUGUAACUCAUCCUCAUGACGCUGGAAUCCCUAGUAAUCAGAAGUCAACAUCUUCUGGUGAAUACGUCCCUGCUCCUUGCACACACCGCCCGUCAAACCAUCCGAGCAGAGUUUGGGUGAGACCUGGAUUUAAUUUAGGUCGAAUCUAUACUCAGUGAGGCGGGUUAAGUCGUCACAAGGUA